rfam:Ornithorhynchus anatinus chromosome X1, whole genome shotgun sequence.
CCCGUCUCAGGGUUGCACCUGGAGAGUUUCCAGUGCUCUACCAGUCUCGACUUCAGGAGGGAGAGUCAAACAGAGGCAUACCCAUUCCAUUUCUAGCUUGAGCAGUGGCUAGCGGGUGGAAGACAAUCUGCCACAAGU